rnacentral:rRNA from 1 species
ACGGGUGAGUAACGCGUGGGUACCAACCUUUUGGUGGGGGAUAACUGUUGGAAACGACAGCUAAUACCGCAUAAGCCCUACGGGGGAAAGAUUUAUUGCCAGGAGACGGACCCGCGUUGGAUUAGCUAGUUGGUGAGGUAAUGGCUCACCAAGGCAACGAUCCAUAGCUGGUUUGAGAGGAUGAUCAGCCACACUGGAACUGAGACACGGUCCAGACUCCUACGGGAUGCAGCAGUGGGGAAUAUUGCACAAUGGAGGAAACUUUGAUGCAGCCAUGCCGCGUGAGUGAAGAAGGCCCUAGGGUUGUAAAACUCUUUCACCAGGGAAGAUGAUGACGGUACCUGGAGAAGAAGCACCGGCUAACUCCGUGCCAGCAGCCGCGGUAAUACGGAGGGUUCCGAGCGUUAAUCGGAAUUACUGGGCGUAAAGCGCGCGUAGGCGGUUAAAUCGGUCAGAUGUGAAAGCCCUGGGCUCAACCUGGGAACUGCGUCUGAUACUGUUUAACUAGAGUCUCGGAGAGGGUGGCGGAAUUCCCGGUGUAGAGGUGAAAUUCGUAGAUAUCGGGAGGAACACCAGUGGCGAAGGCGGCCACCUGGACGAUGACUGACGCGGAGGUGCGAAAGCGUGGGGAGCAAACAGGAUUAGAUACCCUGGUAGUCCACGCCGUAAACGAUGUCUACUAGGUGGGUAUUGACCCCUGCUGUGACCAAGCUAACGCAAGAAGCCCCCCGCCUGGGGAGUACGGUCGCAAGAUUAAAACUCAAAGAAAUUGACGGGGGCCCGCACAAGCGGUGGAGUAUGUGGUUUAAUUCGAAGCAACGCGCAGAACCUUACCUACCCUUGACAUACCGAUCGCGUUUUCCAGAGAUGGAUUACUUCAGUUAGGCUGGAUCGGAUACAGGUGCUGCAUGGCUGUCGUCAGCUCGUGUCGUGAGAGUUGGGUUAAGUCCCGCAACGAGCGCAACCCUCAUCCUUAGUUGCCAGCGGUUCGGCCGGGCACUUUAGGGAAACUGCCGGUGACAAGCCGGAGGAAGGCGGGGAUGACGUCAAGUCCUCAUGGCCCUUAUGGGCUGGGCUACACACGUGCUACAAUGGCGGUGACAAUGGGCAGCGAUCCCGCGAGGUGGAGCUAAUCCCCAAAAGCCGUCUCAGUUCGGAUUGCACUCUGCAACUCGAGUGCAUGAAGUUGGAAUCGCUAGUAAUCGUGGAUCAGCAUGCCACGGUGAAUACGUUCCCGGGCCUUGUACACACCGCCCGUCACACCAUGGGAGUUGGUUUUACCCGAAGCCGGUGCGCUAACCUUUG